rnacentral:rRNA from 1 species
CCCGGCACAAGCGGUGGAGCAUGUGGUUUAAUUCGACGCAACGCGAAGAACCUUACCUGGGUUUGACAUCCCGAUCGUACUCUAUGGAAACAUAGGGGUCGAGUUCGGCUGGAUCGGUGACAGGUGCUGCAUGGCUGUCGUCAGCUCGUGUCGUGAGAUGUUGGGUUAAGUCCCGCAACGAGCGCAACCCUUGUCCUUAGUUGCCACCAUUCAGUUGGGCGACUCUAAGGAGACUGCCGGUGUUAAACCGGAGGAAGGUGGGGAGUGACGUCAAGUCCUCCAUGGCCCUUAUAUCCAGGGCUACACACGUGCUACAAUGGCCGGUACAAAGGGUCGCAAUACCGCGAGGUGGAGCUAAUCCCAAAAAGCCGGUCUCAGUUCGGAUUGGAGUCUGCAACUCGACUCCAUGAGGUCGGAAUCGCUAGUAAUCGCGUAUCAGCGUGACCGCGGUCGAAUACGUUCCCGGGCCUU